ACAUAACACAGUUAUGGCUUCCGAUCCCAACAUAAUGGGAAUCAAACCUAUACUAAAAGAAGAAUAAGAUCAAAAAGAGAGGCUGUCCACGUUGACAAAAAAAGUCAGCCAAUAGAAGUAGAGCUUCACGCCACGUCAGAUGUGUCACUUAAGUCGUUGGGCUUCGAAUUCCACAGGCCCGGCAUCGUUCAAAUUCGAGAAGCCCGUGAAGCCCAUUUCACAUCUAAGCUCCCUUUCCCCUUCCUCUUGGCGUCUUUUGCUUUCCUAAACGUCUUGCUCCUUUCCUAUUAAUUGAUAUGUGAAACAGAGUGAAAAGAUGUAAGCAACGUUUGAUGUAGCGUUAAGAAAACGGGCCCUGGAAGGAGAGAAAUCUCUUCGGAGAAACAUUUGAUCCUUUCCCUUUUAGUAUAGGUUUGAUUUUUGCCGUGUUUGUCUUCUCACUGUUAACUUUCCAGUAAAUAUUUUCUCUAUUCAAUCCUUGCUUCUUUUGUUUGACAAGUACGCUUCCAGAGACCGUAGACAGGAAGAGGAGGAGCCUCUGUCUUCCUCAAUCCGAACUGCAGUUCCCCAUUCGUUUUCUCCCUUUCGGAUUCCCUCUUCAUUGCCUCCCGAUCUCAUAACCAUCUUUCAUUACUGCAUGAAUCAAAAGCCAAGCUAACAGUUUCAACUUCCGGUGCUCUCGAUUCAAAAUAUGAGUAUCAGUCAAGCGUUUUCAACAAAGGAGAAGUCAACAGUUUGGUCAUUAGCCUCUGGAGGAUGGGAGCUCGCAGGAGGAAUGCUGGUUUCCUACUUCAUUGUUUUUUUUUGUGGUAAAAUUCCUACUUCAUUGUUGUGCUGGCUGAGACUGAGAUCUUGCUUUCAAAGUUUGUAUGCAAAGUUCCACGAUCUUUUUAAUAAGAAAAAAAAAGUUCCACGAA